UCUCCGUUGGUGAACCAGCGGAGGGAUCAUUACAGCGAGUCUCCCGACUCCCUCACCCCUGCGAACCAAACCUCUCGUUGCUUCUGCGGGCGGCCCCCCGUACGGGGGGCCACCGGCCCGCCCCUCCACGACGGGGCGCCCGCCAGAAGACCGACCAAACUCGUUUUUUUAGCGGCAUUCUGAGUCUAAAAACAAACUGUUAAAACUUUCAACAACGGAUCUCUUGGUUCUGGCAUCGAUGAAGAACGCAGC
rnacentral:misc_RNA from 1 species